CAAUAGCGUAUAUUUAAGUUGCUGCAGUUAAAAAGCUCGUAGUUGGAUUUCGGGUGGGAAUGGCCGGUCCGCCGUUUCGGUGUGCACUUGCUACGCCCACCUUGCUGCCGGGGACGUGCUCUUGAGUUCACGCUCGGGACACGGAGUCGGCGAGGUUACUUUGAGUAAAUUAGAGUGUUCAAAGCAGGCCUACGCUCUGAAUACAUUAGCAUGGAAUAACACGAAAGGACUCUGGCCUAUCUUGUUGGUCUGUAGGACCGGAGUAAUGAUUAAGAGGGACAGUCGGGGGCAUUCGUAUUUCAUUGUCAGAGGUGAAAUUCUUGGAUUUAUGAAAGACGAACUACUGCGAAAGCAUUUGCCAAGGAUGUUUUCAUUAA
rnacentral:rRNA from 1 species